rnacentral:rRNA from 1 species
GACGAACGCUGGCGGCGUGCUUAACACAUGCAAGUCGAACGGAGUGGCGAACGGGUGAGUAACACGUGGGUGACCUGCCCUGCACUUCGGGAUAAGCCUGGGAAACUGGGUCUAAUACCGGAUAGGGUGGGAUGGGCCCGCGGCCAAUCAGCUUGCUGGGGGGGUAAUGGCCUACCAAGGGGGCGACGGGUAGCCGGCCUGGGAGGGUGGACGGCCACAUUGGGACUGAGACACGGACCAGAGUCCUACGGGGGGCAGCGGUGGGGAAUAUUGCACAAUGGGCCGAAGCCUGAUGCAGCGACGCUGCGUGGGGGAUGUCGGCCUUCGGGUUGUAAACUCCUUUCACCAUCGACGCGGUAGAUGGAGAAGAAGCACCGGCUAACUACGUGCCAGCAGCCGCGGUAAUAC